UAGCUGCAUCCACUGCAGCAGCAUCUCGUCCUGAACAGAGCCUCCAGCAUCACUCAGACCUUUCUCCACCACUGCAGAUGGCUGCUCCUUACUGGGUUUCUGUAGCUGUCGUUGUUUUGAUGACUGUUAGAAACGGUGAGACUGUUAUUGAGCCACACGACCUCGCACCAAUUGUACAAGACAUUCUGAACAGGUACACACCAAGCUACAUUAGUGCAAAAAACAACAGAAAGUUUCCCAUGUUCAGUGUGGCUGUGAGCGUCCCGUACAAUGAACAAACAAACAAGUUUGAUAUGAAUGAAGUCCGUAAAGAUGAUGGUGAAAAAGUGAGGAAGACGAUUCUAAACUGUGACAUAUACAAAGGUGACAGAGUGGUGGCAGCCACAGUGCUGAGAUGGCCUGAUGUCUUGGAUCAGUGUCCUAAUGGAGAUGUACAGUGGAAGGAUGUUUUGCAGAAAUGUGGUAAACAGCAGAUUAACACAUGGGCUGAAGUUAAGUUGUGUGAUAAAAUUAAAAUACGGGAUGGCAGAGCUGAUCAUGCAGAGUUUCGAACCCUGCAGGAUUUUCAACCUUUACUCGCAACACAAUCAAUAAAUGAUCUGAUGGUUUUCUACGUCCGUGACUCCCCAUGUGAUGAAACAUGUACCAACCCAAGAAAUCCUCAGAAUAUUCUCAUUAACAUACAAGAGAUAAUGCACUGGAAGAAUUAUGUUGUUGUGUUUUCAGAUGUAUUUAGACCUCGUGAUGGUGGGCACAUAUCUAUGGAAAAGCUGGGUGAAUCACUUAAGUGGCUUGGGAAUGCAAUCGCAGAUCCAAAGUCAAAUGGUCUUCAGCAUAUAUUCCGAUGCUACAGGCAGCAAAAAAUGAAGUGCUUUAGGUGCAAUGGUGACAAUGGUGAAGUUGCAUUUGAAUGUAUUUUAGAUUUGGUUAACAACCUAAAAAAGCAAACUGUCUGAUGUUGGGAGAAGUCAGGAUAGUGGGGAGAAAGAGUAAGGGCAAGAAGAAGCAGAAGGGUAACAUCCAGAGAGGAGGAGUAAUGAGAGAAAAUCAUCAGAAUUAACCAGAAGAGGGAAAAAGAAAAACAGAAAAUGUAAUCCGUGCUUUGCAUCGUUUUCCUGCUUCCAUGUUUAACUUUAAAUGUGUCUAUACGUCACAGCAAGAUUAACAUGUGCUCCUGAAAUCACAGCUGCCAUCGUGCACUCUGGUCCUUCUAGUCCACGAUACUGUCUGCGCCUCUGAUUGUGUCUGUGAACUGAAACACAAACAGUGUAUGUGGAGCGAGUGUAAUCCAUUUAUAGCCUCUGAUACUGUUUCUGAUUAAAGCUUAAUAAGCUGCAUUAAAACAUGUCACAGCUUG